CGCGCGUCGCCCCUCAAUCGAAUUUUGUGUGCAACGCAGGUUUUGUGUGGUUUUGUUUCUCUACACGUCUUCUUUUUUCCCACCGCGUGCUGCGCCCUCGCAUCCUCUCGCAGCCCCCCCCCCGCCCUCGCUAGCAACUCCCCCUCCCUCUCGUCCCGCCAACCCCCUGCACCAGACCAUCUCUCCCUUAGGGAGACGCCCGAAGGGGGUGGUGGGUGGUGUUGGUGGUUGACGGCAAGAAGUGUGAACCACCCACAGCCACGCACGCCUCUACUGUCUUGUCCCUCGCCCGCCAUCACCAUCGCCACCACCACCAGCAGCCGUUGCGGGGUGGAGUACGGUGCACGGCGCGGUUGUUUCCCUCUCCUCUGCUGCUUGUUUGCUUUUUUCUUUCCGCGCGUUACUCGACUGCUGCGCUGCUGCGCGCCGGCGUUUCGAAUCACGAGAGGGAGAGAGGGAGGAGAGAAGGAGGCGGGGUGGGCCGCCACCACCCCUUUAUUGCUUGCUUUACUUUAGUUUCGUGGCGAUCACGGCAUUCGCCGCGUACAAAUUAACAGCAGCCCUGCUGUGCACUCCUCUUUCGUAUUUCUGCGGCACCACUCCACUUCAUACACGUGCACGCACGUCACCUCCGCGUGAACUAUCUACCCCCGUCAUCUACCACCACCGCGCCGCUCUCCCGUUGCCCGCGGUGUUGUUGGAAGGUCACCGCGGUGGUGUCGGCAAGAAGAGAGACACACGUAUUCCGGGGCUCGCUCACACGUGGCAGACCAUCAAAGCAGCAGAGCAGCGGAAUCGGCUAACGAGGAUGGGGUGCAGGGCGUCUGCGUCUCGUAACAGGGAGUCGUCGCACGGGAGCAGGGCAGCGUCACUCGGGGUUUCGGCCUUGCCAAGCACCCAUGCGGGCACGCGGCGCGCGCCGAAGAACUGGCUGUCGACCUCGCCGCGCCGCAGCAGCCGCAGGGAGGCAGACGUUGGCAAAGCCAGCAGCGGCCGCACCAGGAAUGGGGAGCCCGGUCUUCAGCAGUGCGUGUACACGCAGGACGACAACCCCCUCUUGCCACCACCGCCUCUGUCGCCGGAAAUGGUUCAUCAGGGCAACAGCACCCUCGUCAGAAGCGCCUCCCCGACCAGCGGACGUAUGAAACGAAUUCCAAGCCCCCGACGCUAUCCGUCAGACAGCGCCUCUCCGCGCGUGAAGGACGGUUUCAGGAAUCACGACAGUGCGGUCCUAGAACGACUGCACAAAGAACGACCCGAGAACCACUUUGAUCCGUUACUGAUGCCGGACGUGCUGCAUCGGCAGGAGUCGACGGGUUCCCGGGCAGCCAGCAGCAGCCUGCCAUCGCGACCGUCGUCGUACAUUGCCACGUUGGACAGCGAGGACCACAACGCCACCUUUCGGACGGAGAUCAACUCACACGACAAGACCGACUCCGCGCAAGCCGCCAAGGAAUACCAGCAGCACGUGCAGGCCAGGCGGAGCGCACAGGCCGCGCACACGAAGCGGCGUCAACUGGAGGAGUUCGACCCCGUAAGGCCAAUGGACAGCUUCAACGUGACGCACCGUGGCUUGCUCGGGCGGUGCUGGGACCGACGCGGGCCGGAGCUGAUUCCAGUCUCCUUCGUGCACGCCGUGGAGGCGGCGCUGCGGGCUGCCGAGGAGACGCAUCCGGCCAGCAUGACCACCUCGCACCCGGCCGGGGCGGAGACCGGGAGAGACGAGUUCACGCCUGUCUCACCACGCGUCUCCUUGUCGCCGCUGAGCCACGCCAGUGCACACUUUUCCGGUUUCGCAGGAGGCAGCGCGCCGUCGCAGCCAAUUCCGUGCUCACCACGAGGUGCUGGCUUCGGCGGGCGUCGCGUGCCACGCCGCUCGCACUGGUUCAGCGUUGGCGGCGUCAGCUGCGACACAAUGUGCCCACCUGUCAACGGCAGCGGCCUGGGUAGCCAGGCAGGAGCGAGCAUCGUGUCAUCCUACUGCAUGAACAGCGGCGUCUCGUCCCCGAUUACGGCAUGGCCCGGUGCGAGCGGCCCAGGGUUUCCGCUGCCGACCGCGUCACCGGCGCUGAACCGAGCAGGCGCUGCUGUGGUGAGAGGCAAGGCCAAAUCCUUCACGGCCACCGCGGCCUCCUCGCCGGCAGUCUACGGUGGCGCCAUCGAUAGCCUCUCCAACGACGGGGACAGCGGCGCCGCGAACCCGCGUCAGUCUCUAACAGCGGAGCAGAUCUCCGCACUGCCGAUGGAAAAGCGCGAGCAGUACUACAAUGACUUCCUCAGCCGUAACCCGCUCUUCAUGGGGAUCAAGGACUGCUUCGCCUUCCGCCUCUCGGAUGGGGUCAGCGAAGACCCGACCACCAAGUUCCUGCGCAAGCGGAACCUCGAGCCGGCACCUGGAGUAGUGGCCAUGCGAUGGAAUCGAGUCGAGUUCUUCCACACUACCCUGCACACGCUUAUCCGCGCCGUGGCCAUGACGCAGGGCAUGACGCUCAACGUAGGCCACGCAGAGCUGCUGCAGCAGGCGAGCGGCACCGGUCCAAGACAACCCGGCAUGCAACACAGCCGUCUGUCACCCUCAGCCUCCACGAAUCACAUGCUGCAUGUCACUGGUGAGGACGGCGGCGCCAUCGCAGAGAUGCUGUUGCGGCACUCGUUCAGUCAGUAUGUCUUGUCCUACAUAGAGAACGGCAGCUUCUCGCGCGGCAGCGGCAGUCUGAGCAACUCUUUCUUGUCCCAAUCAGACAAGCUGCGCGGCGCCGGCGACGGCUCUGGCAGCCACCUCAGCAACUCUCUUCUCAGCCCUCCGCGCAACCGCGCCCACCGCCCCGACAAGAACGGCAGCGGCGAGGCCGGAGCCUUUGCAGCUGCCAAGUUCCCGGAAGACAGCGUGCUGGCGCUCGCGCUCUGUAUUCCGAGUUCGCGUCUGCCAUCGCUGAUGGGGGCGCUACCGCCACCUCAGCUGAGCGGCGUCGGUCGCUCGAGUAGCUACUCAGCAUCCGCAGCCGCUCCGAAGACCUCUCGUGACGGCGACGGCAGCCCGGCGGCGUCGCCAGGCCCCUCCGGCGCACCGCAUGGUGCCUUCACACGUGCCGGAUCGGACGGAAGCGUGCUGGUCGCCUUCAGCGUGAGCAGCUUCAGCGUCUCUAUCGACCCCUUCCGCUGGCAGGAGCACCGCUAUAUCCGGUAUCCUAUCGACAUGGAUGACUCGAAGAAGUCAUCUCGGCACACAUACGGUGAGGGUGUCGUGACGGACGUCAUGUACGGCGGCAUCAUGUUUGUGGAAGCCUCGUCGUUCACGGCGGUGAGGGAGUUGCAGACACUGCUGGCCGGCAUGACGUGGACGGAGGGCCGCACGUUGAGCGGCGUCGUCGGCGACGUGCGCAAGCACCUUAAAGUCUUUCAAGGAAAUGGCAACAAGGUGCGGCAGGCAACAUCACCGCAGCAGCAGCAGGCUGAGGAACAGAAUAGUCACCGGUACCGUAUCUGCCGCCGCGUCGGUGGCCGCCCCAUGCGCGAUGCGGUGGAGCUGCAAGAGAUAUCCUACUACCUCGACGAUGUCGAGGUGCGCGAAGAGAUUGUGACGCUGAACCGGCCCAUACGGUCAGGCGACGUCACCGCAGCGAGAGGUGCUGCGGCCGGGCCUGGCGGGGUGGCGGGCAGCUCCGUUGACUGCUUCGAGUCGAAGCACACCUGUCAUGGCAACAGCCUCGCAGCUGACCCGGACGUCUCGCCAUCCUUUUCGCGCGUGGCCUCCGUGUGGGUGACACUGCCCGUCAUCGCAGCCGUACUGCGCACCUGGGCCCUGCACCUACUCUCAAAUCCCGAAUUUGCGCAGCCGAUAGCAUUGUUCCUGCAGAAAUACGCCGGCAUCGCGCCGGUGUUGCAGACGACCGCCCUCGGCGCCCUCCAUCAUGACGACGACACACCAAGCGAGGAGGUCGGCGACGACGUCGACUACCUCUUCUUCGAAGGCGGCAGCCCGGCCGUCACAGUGCCGGCUGCUGCCGCCGUCGACGCCACCCAUCCGCAGCCCGCGCCGCGGAUUCCAAAGUUCAACCGCUUUUACGCAUCGAAGCCCAGCACUCCUCUGUUCACAGCGGACGAGCACCACGCCAGUCAUCCCGGUGCCGCGUCACAUUCGCCCGCCAACAUGCACAGGAGCAGCAACAUGGCGCUGGAUGAGCAAGGUGCCAGCGGCGCAGACGGUAACCAGCCGUCGCUCAAGAAACCUGGUGAGGACACGUGUGUCGGGCUCGGUACUAAAAGUCAAAGUCCGGAAGCGUUGAAAGGCGAGGCAACCCACUUAGCGGACAGCGUGAGCAGCUGCUGUACGGCGUCGGAGGCGAAAUCGGGCGGCGACCGGCAGAGCAGCCACGCUCCGAGCUCCAUCGAUACAGAGAAGGACCAGUGCGACAGCGUCAGGGGCAAGAUCUGCGGCACGAAGCGCAAGCGCGUCGUCGGCAAGCCAUCCGGCGCUGCCAACGAAGGCACUGAGGGCGCUCCGCGGACGCUGCAGUGCGGAUCGAAGGGUAACAAGGCGGAGCCCAACCGCGCGACUAACAGGAAAUCGGUCAGCACCCGCCCCGCUACGCAGUGCAACUCGCCGCUCUCUCCCAGGAGCGGCACACGACCGCAAUCGCGCCGCAACGACGCGGGCGGCGAUCAGGGCAGCCCUACGUCAUCAUCGUCCUUCUCCUUCCCCAGCUCUCCAGCCGCGACGAAGGCCGGCACGAACGACUUCCAAGGAAACCUGAGCAGCCUGGUGACCAGCAGCUGCAACACGCCGUGCCUGCCGGGCAACAGGCUGCACCAGUCUACAUUCCAGAACUUCUCGCACAGCCGCCUGAGCAGGUCCACGUCGGCGCCGUCACCGUUGAUGCCAGUUGCCGGGGGCAAGGGCACGCUCAGGACAUCGGUGCCGCCGACUCCGCUGCUCACGGCGGUCAGCUGCGUUGCCGCGCUGCCCACGCUGAGCGCUCUUACCUUUGAUAACGCCCCUGUCGAGGCGGCCAGCGCCGAGCCGAGUGUCAUGGCCUCCACGGUGGGCCCGGAGAGCUCGGCGGCGGCUGUGGCCUCAGGCAAGAAGAUAGGUCCGGAUGCGGUACAGGAGGUCUCUAAGGUAGCGUUCCGCUCGCCGCACUCCCCCCGCGAGCCCAAGACUCACCUCACUAUGGCGAACAGCGGCGUGAACAGCAGAGGGGCAGAGACGCCACUGGCACACAGAGACAAGGUCACGGCAGCGCCGUCAACCGUAUCGGCAGCGGCGGCGGCCCCUUCGCUGCCGUUGCCGCUGCCGCCGAAGGCAGGAAGGGCCAAAAUAAUCGCAACCCCCACGAACACGACAGCGCCGAAGGGCACCUCUGCGGCGACCAUCGUUGCUAUGGCGACCAAGCUCAGAGGUGUCACAGCCACUUCAACGCGCAGAAAGGCGGUAGGGGCCGUCAAGAGGGCACCGGCGCUGGUCAAGCACGCGCGGAUGUCCGUCACGCAUUUCGUGGAGAGUGAGCAGCGCGCGUGCGACUCUCCGUCAUCGCCCGGUGCGAGCGUGCUCAGCACGGGAAUCACGGUGAACAGCGCCGAAACCCCAACGGCGUACCGGGCCACCGAGAACGAGGAAGAAGAGAUGUGGCACAUGGCCAUGCUGGAGGUGAAGGCGCAGCAGCAGGAGCUCGAAGAGCUGCGCCAGGCACGCCGCGACGCCGAGGACGCAGCGAAGCAGCGGGAAGACUUGCUUCGCUCCCUCAACCGUAUUCUGCUGCCGCACACCGCCCCGCAGGAGCUCGACGGGGUGCUGCUGUACUUGAAGACGGCCAUCUACGAACCAGAGGACAUGCCGCAUGGCCGCCUCUUUCUUCAGCAGCCGAGCUGGCUGCCGAUGCUGGUCGCCGUCUGGACGGCCCCGGCAAAUCGCAUCCGCACGGUCGAAAUAGCGGCGGAGCUGACCUGGGUAGAUAUCCCACGCCUCGGUCUUGUUGCAGGCCUGCUGUACCACCAGUACGCGUCAGGGCCUCUGGAGGAACUGAUCAUACGGGCCGACAAGCUGCUCGGAUCUCCCCAGACGACUGCGACGCUGCCGAACAACUACGGUCUUUACGCGGACCUCGCAGACAAAACGGCAGCACGGCCCAGGAAGCCGCGCCUGCUGGCCGGCCGAUCCCGCAAGUCCAAGCGUGGCAACAACAAAGGUCGCAGCGCCGACGCCAACCGAGGCAGCAGCAACUUGAACUUCACGACGGAGCUAGAUCAGAUGACCAGCGGCUUUGGCCCGGGGUGUCCACCGUUCGUCAUCACACCCGAGGAGGCCCGUGACACGCUGUGGUUGCUGCUGUGCUCCGUGGCGGCGAACAUGAGGGUCCCGACGUUCCGCGUAGUGCUUCGCGGGCUGCCAACGGGUGAAAUCAGCGCCGCCGCCAGCGGCAGCGGUGCUGGCCGCGUUCGCAGCCACGGCAGAGACCGCACCCCCUUCACAUACCUUGCCUCCUUCUUCGCCGGGGCAAUCUCACGCUUCCGCGACGAGCAUGACGACACGCAGCUCCUGCUCAAGUCCCGCUCCAUGGUGCUGGACAACUUCGUCGUAUGCCCAGGCUCGCGGCUAGGGUCCGACCGAGAUAUGCACAGCUCCGCGCAGAGGUCGGACAGCAGCGGCCUUGGCACCAGCACGACGCACCACAACACCGCCUACGACGAAGGCCAACUGAUCUGCACCAACGGUUCACUGCAGCUAGACGAGGACGGGACUGCGUGGUCGUCCUCCAUGUCAGAGCGAAAGGCCGGCGGCACGCUUCGGCAGACAUCGUCCUUGGUGAUCAUGUCCUUACCCGCAGCAGCGUCGGCAGACAUGGGUGAGGCGGCGCGCUCGCCGGAUCGGCACAGGUGCAACUCGAACAGCACCUUCGCAGCUGUGCGCCCCGUCGCCGCGCCCACCCCAUGUACUGGUGAGGCUUCUGCAGGUGUGUCGAUCAGCGGAGGAGGCGAUGGCGCGGCUCGAGCGAUUGAGGUCGUGCAGACGCACCAGCAUCGCGUGCAGCGCCACCGUGCGUGGGUGCGCAACGGUAACGACGUCGAGGAGCGACCCUUCUACGAGCUGCUGGUGCACCGCUGCGAUGCAGUCGGGGAAGCCACAACGGCUACCGAAAACGAUACCGACGAUGCGCGCUUCUACGCGGAACCUGACCCACAGCAGCGCCUGCAAGAAGCCGUCGGUCAGCUGGGGGCGCCGUCUCGGCUGUGGCAGAGCCCACCGCCGUCCCCGCCGCCACGCCACUUGCCUGGCAGCGGUUUUGCUCGUGGGCUGCGGACGGCGGAAGAUGAGCAGGUGGCUCUGCAGAGCGAGGUGGCCGCGCUGCGCGAGCGGGCAGGCGACAUCUGGGAGGCUCUGCGCAAGUCGGUCAAGCACUACAACCAACUCCAGAUGGAGGCCCAUCAUAAGGUGAUGAAGCAGAAUGGCGGAAGCCAAUCACCCUCGUCACCGCCUCCGCAGCCGCCGCGGCAGAUUGUGUUGGAGUACUAGUCGUUUGGUUCGAGUCGUGGGGUGGGGAGAGGCCAGCAAAGAGAGAGACGUGUGCAGCUGGGCAAGGGCGGGAUGCUGUACACGCACGCACUCGAUAUGCGCGGGACGUCAGACGGAGACCGAGUGGCAACGGCCCUGCGGACACCGAACCGCAGAACCAGAAAAAGAAAGGGGUCGGUGUCGAAGAUGUCGCAUAGGAGUUGCUCCCCACGGGGCAACUCGCUAGCACCCAAGAACAAGGACAAGUAGGGCCGCGGCACGUCUUGUGAGUUUUCAUCCGUUCUUCUGUCUCCUUGCAUGCGUCUGCGGAUGUCUCUGUACGGCACACU
rnacentral:misc_RNA from 1 species